CCGGGCCCGCGCCCGCCGAAGACACCUGUGAACACUGUCUGAAGUUGCAGUCUGAGAAACUAGCUAAAUUAGUUAAAACUUUCAACAACGGAUCUCUUGGUUCCGGCAUCGAUGAAGAACGCAGCGAAAUGCGAUAAAUAAUGUGAAUUGCAGAAUUCAGUGAAUCAUCGAGUCUUUGAACGCACAUUGCGCCCUCUGGUAUUCCGGAGGGCAUGCCUGUCCGAGCGUCAUUGCUGCCCUCAAGCACGGCUUGUGUGUUGGGCCCCCGUCCCCCCGCCAGGGGGGACGGGCCCGAAAGGCAGCGGCGGCACCGCGUCCGGUCCUCGAGCGUAUGGGGCUCUGUCACCCGCUCUUGUAGGCCCGGCCGGCGCCAGCCGACCCUCCUCAAUCUAUUUUUUCAGGUUGACCUCGGAUCAGGUAGGGAUACCCGCUGAACUUAAGCAUAUCAUAGGCCGGAAGGA
rnacentral:rRNA from 1 species